rnacentral:rRNA from 1 species
UACAGAGGUCUCAAGCGUUUGUUCGGAUUCAUUGGGCGUAAAGGGUGUGUAGGUGGCGCGCUAAGUCGGGUGUGAAAUUUCGGAGCUUAACUCCGAAACUGCAUUCGAUACUGGCGUGCUUGAGGACUGGAGAGGAGACUGGAAUUCAUGGUGUAGCAGUGAAAUGCGUAGAGAUCAUGAGGAAGACCAGUGGCGAAGGCGGGUCUCUGGACAGUUCCUGACACUGAGACACGAAGGCCAGGGGAGCAAACGGGG